AGAUUGAACGCUGGCGGCAUGCCUUACACAUGCAAGUCGAACGGCAGCACGGGAGCAAUCCUGGUGGCGAGUGGCGAACGGGUGAGUAAUACAUCGGAACGUGCCCAGUAGUGGGGGAUAACCCGGCGAAAGCCGGACUAAUACCGCAUACGACCUACGGGUGAAAGCAGGGGAUCGCAAGACCUUGCGCUAUUGGAGCGGCCGAUGUCAGAUUAGCUAGUUGGUGGGGUAAAAGCCCACCAAGGCGACGAUCUGUAGCUGGUCUGAGAGGACGACCAGCCACACUGGGACUGAGACACGGCCAGACUCCUACGGGAGCAGCAGUGGGAAUUUGGACAAGUGGGCGCAAGCCUGAUCCAGCCAU
rnacentral:rRNA from 1 species